rnacentral:rRNA from 1 species
UACGUUCCCGGGUCUUGUACACACCGCCCGUCACGCCAUGGGAGCGGGUUUUACCAGAAGUAGGUAGCUUAACCGCAAGGGGGGCGCUUACCACGGUAGGAUUCGUGACUGGGGUG